ensembl:lncRNA
AGGAAUGUAGAUGCUUGAGCUGGGGAAGUUAGAGAGGGAAUAACGUUUAUAUAUAAAUAAUGGAUAGUUGAAUAUUAGAAUCAGAUUAAUUGGGGCUGAUGAAAGUGUUUUUUUUUUGUUUGUUUGUUUGUUUUUUUUUUAAAGCAGUUGUGCACUAUGGGAAGGAAGUCUUUUCACAGGUUCACUUGAUAGGGAUUCUUUAAGGUGAGGGGUUGGAAUUAUCUCCUUUUUGAGAGGAUUCUCACCAACAUCUGUAGCUUUAUUGACGGCCUGGUAAGGGUACUGAAACUGGGGCUAAACCAUGUAAGCAUACUUUUCAGUGUUUAUGGUAUUUGUUUACAUCUGGUGUUCACUCUAAGCAAUAGAAAUAAAUAGGUCAGCUUUGCUUUUGGUCUUUGAAGACUGGCCCCCUCCUUCCUUUUUUAAGUUUCACAAUUUACUUGGUUUGCAGCAUUGUUGGAAACUGUUACUACAUUUUUACUGGAAAUACUAUUAUUCAUUUUAAUUUUGCUUUGAAGGGUCCAUCCUUUUUCCUAUUCAGUCGUCUGGAAGGAGCUGCCUCUGUAAUACUCUUCUUCUGCUUACAUGAAGAUCUCUAAAUGCUAUCCAGCAGGAGGUGCUACAGCAAGAUAAAGGAAAUUUGUGAAUUUUGAGGGUCUUGUUACUUAUUACAGCUCUACUUAGCUUCAGCUAAGCAGCAGGAUUAACACCUUAAAGUUCCAGAAAGAUUUUGAGUAAGUCCAUUUAAAAAAUUCCAUUCAUAAAUUAUGUUUGCUACUUGAAACUGAAGUCUUUGACUAUACAAAGUAGAUGUGUGAUUGUGGAUAGCUUAAGGAUUCUGGGCCUAGGUACAGAGCACUGUUUAGAAUUAUUUUAUUUGGAAGAGGAAUUAGUCUUGUGUUGAUGAGUGGGGUGUUGAGCACGUAUUUUAAAAAAGUAUUUGUAAUUGUUAUAAACAAAAGUAGUUGGUAUGAUUUAGGGCUUUAAGUCUUGUUAUCCCUAUAAUAAUACAAAUAGGAUAUAGAGUAGUUGAGAUUUUGGAAAGGGGGAUAGUGUGUGGAAAAAAAUUUAGACUUCUUGUAGUUUUUUUCCCCUCGGAUUUACGGACUAUGAUUCUAAUAUAGAUCAAUUUUUAGGCACUCAGCUUUAUAAAUACAUAUGGUUGAUGUACUUAAGUUAGCCUGCAAAGACUGAGAUUCUUGAACUGUAAAUCAAGUUCUAUCAGUGGUAGGUCAUUGCUGAUAUAACAAUAACUGCAUAAAGAUGAAUAUAGCUACUUUAACAGUUUCAUAGCAUUUAUAGCGCAUGGUCCUUUGAAACUCUGUUAGUGUUAGGUGAAUUGAUUAUUACUGGAAAUAUCAUGCCACUGUGGUUGCUUGUAAAGUUUUGUGUCAAAAUUUUAAAAAUUUGGGGAUGCUAGAAACUUGAUAAAUCUGCUUUGAAUUUUGUCUAUUUUGUAGACAAAAUACUGUUUUCUCAGUAAGACCAAAUGAGAUAAUACAUAUAAAAGUUCUUCGCAAGUGGUAAGAAAGCAUGCGAAUAUUAAGUUGUUGA